CCUACGGGAGGCAGCAGUGGGGAAUAUUGCACAAUGGGCGAAAGCCUGAUGCAGCGACGCCGCGUGAGGGAUGACGGCCUUCGGGUUGUAAACCUCUUUCAGCAGGGAAGAAGCGAGAGUGACGGUACCUGCAGAAGAAGCGCCGGCUAACUACGUGCCAGCAGCCGCGGUAAUACGUAGGGCGCAAGCGUUGUCCGGAAUUAUUGGGCGUAAAGAGCUCGUAGGCGGCUUGUCACGUCGGGUGUGAAAGCCCGGGGCUUAACCCCGGGUCUGCAUUCGAUACGGGCUAGCUAGAGUGUGGUAGGGGAGAUCGGAAUUCCUGGUGUAGCGGUGAAAUGCGCAGAUAUCAGGAGGAACACCGGUGGCGAAGGCGGAUCUCUGGGCCAUUACUGACGCUGAGGAGCGAAAGCGUGGGGAGCGAACAGGAUUAGAUACCCUGGUAGUCCACGCCGUAAACGGUGGGAACUAGGUGUUGGCGACAUUCCACGUCGUCGGUGCCGCAGCUAACGCAUUAAGUUCCCGCCUGGGGAGUACGGCCGCAAGGCUAAAACUCAAAUGAAUUGACGG
rnacentral:rRNA from 1 species